rnacentral:misc_RNA from 1 species
AAGUCGUAACAAGGUCUCCGUAGGUGAACCUGCGGAGGGAUCAUUACCGAGUUAUUACUCAAAACCCUGUUUACCAUCUGUUGCUUCGGGGGCGCCCCUCGGGAGGGGAUUUGCUUCGGCCGCUCCCGAAAGCCAGAAACUAUUUAAUUGUCUGUCAUUAUAAAACUACAAAAAAAUUAAAACCUCAACAACGGAUCUCUUGGUUACU